rnacentral:rRNA from 1 species
GACGAACGCUGGCGGCGUGCUUAACACAUGCAAGGCGAACGGAAAGGCCGGGCUUUUGGGGGGUGCCCGCGCGGCGAACGGGUGAGUAACACGCGAGUAACCUGCCCUGGACUUUGGGCUAACGUCCGGAAACUGGGGCUACUCACGGCUAGGAGCUCCCGCCGCAUGGGGGGGGUUGGCAAGCUUCGCCCGUGGGGGAUGGCCUCGCGCCUUGUCAGCGUGUUGGGUGGGUUGUGGCUCACCACGGCUUUGACGGGUAGCCGGCCUGGGGGGGUGACCCGCCACAUUGGGACUUGGGUACGCCCCAGACUGCUCCGGGAGCCAGCAGUGGGGAGUAUUGCACACUGGGCCGAAGCCUGAUGCAGCAACGCCGGGUGCGGGAUGACGGCCUCCGGGUUGUAAACCGCUUUCUCCUGUGACGAAGCGUGAGUGACGGUAAUGGGUAAAGAAGCACCGGCUAACUACGUG